GUAGCAAUACUUUGGACGGCGACCGGGCAGAAGGGUGGAGUAACACGUGAGCAACUUGCCCGUGACAGGGGGAUAACCGAUGGAAACGUCGCCUAAUACCCCAUAACAACCGAGGAGGCAUCUUCAUGGUUUGAAAAUUCUCGAUGGUCACGGAUGGGCUCGCGGGACAUUAGCCAGUGGCGGGGUAACGGCCCACCAAAGCGACGAUGUCUAGGGGUUCUGAGAGGAAGGUCCCCCACACUGGAACUGAGACACGGUCCAGACUCCUACGGGAGGCAGCAGUGAGGAAUAUUGGACAAUGGAGGCAACUCUGAUCCAGCCAUGCCGCGUGAAGGACGAAGGCCCUACGGGUCGUAAACUUCUUUUGUUGUGGAGCAAUAAGGUGCACGUGUGCACCGAUGAGAGUACACGACGAAUAAGCAUCGGCUAACUCCGUGCCAGCAGCCGCGGUAAUACGGAGGAUGCGAGCGUUAUCCGGAUUUAUUGGGUUUAAAGGGUGCGUAGGCGGACGCGUAAGUCAGCGGUGAAAGGUACCGGCUCAACCGGUGAGCUGCCGUUGAUACUGCGCGACUGGAAUGCGGAUGCCGUGGGAGGAAUGUGUGGUGUAGCGGUGAAAUGCAUAGAUAUCACACAGAACACCGAUUGCGAAGGCAUCUCACGAAUCCGUUAUUGACGCUGAGGCACGAAGGCGUGGGGAUCAAACAGGAUUAGAUACCCUGGUAGUCCACGCAGUAAACGAUGAUGGCUAACUGCCGGCGAUACAGUGUCGGUGGCCAAGCGAAAGCGAUAAGCCAUCCACCUGGGGAGUACGACCGCAAGGUUGAAACUCAAAGGAAUUGACGGGGGCCCGCACAAGCGGAGGAACAUGUGGUUUAAUUCGAUGAUACGCGAGGAACCUUACCCGGGCUCGAACGGCUGAGGAAUGAUUAGAGAUAGGUCAUCG
rnacentral:rRNA from 1 species